rnacentral:rRNA from 1 species
UAACACGUGAGCAACCUGCCUUUCAGAGGGGGAUAACAGUUGGAAACGACUGCUAAUACCGCAUAACGCUGCGAUGGGGCAUCCCGAUGCAGCCAAAGGAGCAAUCCGCUGGAAGAUGGGCUCGCGGCCGAUUAGCUAGUUGGUGGGGUAACGGCCCACCAAGGCGACGAUCGGUAGCCGGACUGAGAGGUUGAUCGGCCACAUUGGGACUGAGACACGGCCCAGACUCCUACGGAAGGCAGCAG